rnacentral:tRNA from 1 species
GGGAGUGUAGCUCAGUGGUAGAGUAUUUGCCUAGCAUGCUGGAGACCUUGGGUUAGAUUCCUAGCACCUCCA